GUUUUGCUGUGACAUGUGUGACGCAUCGAUGUUUACUCUUGAGCUUUUGAGCAAGCCUUUCUAGUAUUUUCUGACCGUGAGCCUUUCAAGCUGCUGCGCGCCCUGACUCUUCUACAACAACCAAGGCCCCAAGGCUACAAGGCCAUAUAUACCACAACCAACAACGAGCAAGCCUUUGAGUUGCCUACCUGAACCUCAACCUACUUUAAUUGAAGCAAAAUGGCUCGGGGACAACAGAAAAUUCAAUCACAGCAAAAAGCUCAAGCGAAGUCGGCUGCCGCUAAGAAACAGGCGGGUCAUAACCUGAAGGAUCAGAAGAAAGCUGCAGCUGCAGCUCUCACCUUUAACUGUGAUGUUUGUAAGUCUCAAAUGCCUGACCCGAAAACGUACAAACAACAUUUCGAGAGCAAGCACCCCAAGAACCCUCUGCCGGAAGCUCUAAAGGACGUGUGACCGUCGCCACAAACGACAGAAUGGAGUUCCAGGGACGAAUACCCAACUGAACAUCCCACAAUUCAUCUUUUAUCUCUAAGCAUUUCCACGUGGAUUUCCCUCACUGUAACCCUGUGGGUGCAUGACGCGUUUCAUUAGUGUGUGGUACAGGCUUUAGCAAAGAGAUCUUUAGUGACAUGAGGCAUGAUUCCGUCGAUAGAAAAUGCUCUUUUAUCCACGGGUUAAGUGUAGUUGUCUGGUCGUUUCAUGGUCUUAAAGUGUACUCGUUAUUUGUUAUAUGGCUUUUACAUGUAUUUUGGUAAAUAAAAGAAAAUAACCAAAUGCCAA